rnacentral:sRNA from 1 species
GUCGAUUAGGUGUCCGUGCUAAGUUCGGUAUCGAUAUGGUGCUCCUGGGGGAGCUCGGGACCACCAGGUCGUCUAAGGAGGGGUGAACCGGCCCAGGUCGGAGACGGAGCAGGUCAAAGCCCCCGUGCCGAUCAGUAGUGGGGUCGCACCUGUGA